GCAGGAUAAUUGUGCCCCCAGAACUGGGAUAUCCUGAGAAUGACUUCAACAAGAGUGGCCCAAGACCAACAACAUUUUCGGGCCAAAGAGCCUUGGAUUUUGUGUUGAGGAACCAGGGACUGAUAGACAAAACUCUGCUGUUUGAUAUUGAACUCCUCAAAAUUAUGCCAAGCUGAGUAAUCAAGUGGAGCAUCUUGAUU
rnacentral:misc_RNA from 1 species